AUUGUGAAAGGGGCCGCCGCCGCCUCGAGGGGGGCAGGGAGGGGACCGCGGGGGCCGGGGGCCGGCGAGGGGAGGCCGGGGCUGAGGGGCGAGGACCGAGGAGCGCGCGGAGGAGCGGGGUGAAGGUGGGCUGCCGAGGGAGGGGCGAGCCGGGGGAGGGUCUGGAGGGGGAAGAAGGGCGAGGGCGGCCGCGGGAAGAAGGGGAAAGCGGAGGCUCCCCGGGAAAAAAGCGCGAGAGAAUGGAGUUGAGAGGAAAGAAGGAGGAUACAGGCGGCCAAUGUGUGGCCUACGUGGGAGCGCCCCGAGCGCUCCACGUCCCCGGCCUGCGCCGGGCGGCCCCUUCCCCGGGCAUCUUGGCAACGCGCCUGGCCCAAGCCGGAGGGGCCCCGCGGCCCCGCACGCCUCCUGGACCAGUCAGGAUCCAGGCUCCUCUUUGAGCCCGCGGGUGUUUCAUGGGGGUAGAAGUCUAACCCCUCCACCCCCUCUCCUCCCCAGCAGUCCCACGCGGGUAUGGGAGAGAAUGAAGUUCUUUGUCUCUAAGGGAUUCAAACCAGAAACGGAGGGACCUCUGGUUCCCAGAGGGAGGAAAAUCCAUGAUGUCUGCUGCCCAGGGAGCUAUUGCCACCGCCUCCUUGGGAUGAAGUAUUGCCAGCUACCAACAGUUCCUUCCCAACGGCCAUCUUCCAGCCUUCUUAAACGACUCCUAGCAUCUUCGGGAGGCUCCUGAAGGACUGAAGCAAAGGAAAUCUCUGAAGGGAUUUAGUCCUUGAAAGGGAGUAGGGAUACUUAGGGUGUUCUGUGUUGAGCGCUUCUUCCUAUCUCUCCAGCUUCAUGUAUGUGUGUCUUUAUGUCCAAGCAAUUGAGCCAACAAGUCCUCAGAAUUCCUUGUGAAAAAAACGUUUUUUUUUUUUGAGACGGAUUCUCACUCUGUCGCCCAGGCUGGAGUGCAAUGGUGAAAUUCAGCUCACUGCAACCUCCGCCUCCGGGGUUCAAGCGAUUCUCCUGCCUCAGCCUCCCGAGUAGCUGGGAUUACAGUCACGCGCCACCACGCCCAGCUAAUUUUGUAUUUUUAGUAGAGACAGGAUUUCUCCUUGGUCAGGCUGGUCUGGAACUCCCGACUUCAGGUGAUCCGCCCGCCUCGGCCUCCCAAAGUGGUGGGAUUACAGGUGUGAGCCACCGUGCCCAGCCCUGAAAUAGUCUUAAUUGCUUGUUUUUCUUUUUUGUCUGAGGUGUGCUUUUUAAAAUCUCUAUGGAGAUGGAGAAGACUGACAUUCUCUGGCCUGAUGUGAAAACCUCUCAUUAAAACUGUGUCUGUGCUUUGUGGGCUGAAAGCAUGAAACACUGGAAAUUUUAAACAAACGUAUGUGAAUGUGUUAAGAAGCCAAGAGUCCGGCCCUCUUUCACCAGACUGUAUGGCCUCAGAUCAGCAAGGGAAGUAUUGAGCUUAGGGACACCAAGUAAUGGAGUGAGCAGGGAUGAGAGGGCACAUAGAAUGUGGUGAUCUCUUUCCAUGUCAAGGCUUGUGUGUUUGUGGCACUGGGGUCUUGCUGUGUCCCCAAGGCUAGAGUACAGUGGCACAAUUAUGGUUCACUGCAGCCUCAACCUCCAGGGCUCAAGUGAUCCUCCCACCUCAGUCUCCUAAGUAGCUGGGACAACAGGCUUGGGCUGCCACACCUGGCUAACUUUUUAUUUUUUUGUAGAGACGGGCCUUUGUAAUACCAGCCUUUGUUGCCCAGGCUGGUAUUGAACUCGCUCAAGCGAUCCUCCCACCUGGGCGUCCCAAAGUGCUGGGAUUAUAGGAGUGAGCCACUGUGCCCAGCCUUCAGCGUCAAGACUUUCUGCACCAUCUCUACGCUGACAGCUCCGUAAUUUAUAUUUCUUUCUGGACUCAUCCCCUAACUCCAGAAUCAUAUAUCCAACUGUCUAGUAUACAUACCCAGUUGGAUGUCUAAUAGGUAUUUCUUUUUUUUGAGGUGGAGUCUUGCUCUGUUGCCCAGGCUGGAGUGCUGGAGUGCAGUGGCACGAUCUCGGCUCACUGCGAGCUCCUCCCGGGUUCACGCCAUUCUGCCUCAGCCUCCCCAGUAGCUGGGACUACAGGCGCCUGCCACUACGCCUGGCUAAUUUUUUGUAUUUUUUAGUAGAGACGUGGUUUCACUGUGUUAGUCAGGAUGGUCUCAUCUCCUGACCUCGUGAUCUGCCCGCCUCGGCCUCCCAGAGUGCUGGGAUUACAGGUGUGAACCACCGCGCCCGGCCUAGGUAUUUCAAACUUACAUCUAAAAAUCAAGCUCCCGAAUUCCUCCCACCCAAACACCCAAAUACCACUUCUACAGUCUUACUCUUUUUUUUUUUUUUUUUUGAGACGGAGUCUUGCUCUGUUGCCCAGGCUGGAGUGCAGUGGCACAAUCUCAGCCCACUGCAACCUCUCCACCUCCCGGGUUCAAGCGAUUCUCCUGCCUCAGCCUCCAGAGUAGCUGGGAUUACAGGCAUGCACCACCAUGCCCAGCUAAUUUUUGUAUUUUUAGUAGAGACGGGGUUUCACCAUGUUGGUCAGGCUGGUCUCAAACUCCUGACCUCAUGAUCCGCUCACCUCAGCCACCCAAAGCUGGGAUUACAGGCGUAAGCCACCGCGCCCAGCCCAGUCUUCCUCUCUUUGUCACCCCAUUGCCUUUCAAAAUGUAUGUCCAAGGCUGGACGUCGUGGCUCGUGCCUGUUACCCCAGCACUCUGGGAGGCCGAGGUGGGCGGAUCACAAGGUCAGGAGAUCGAGACCAUCCUGGCUAACAUGGCGAAACCCCGUCUCUACUAAAAAUACAAAAAAUUAGCCAAGCAUGGUGGCGGGCGCUUGUAGUCCCAGCUACUCGGGAGGCUGAGGCAGGAGAAUGGCGUGAACCCAGGAGGCAGAGCUUGCAGUGAGCCGAGAUCGCGCCACUGCACUCCAGCCUGGCGACAGAGUGAGAGUCCGUCUCAAAAAAAAAAAAAAAUUUAGCCGAGCCUGGUGGCAGGGGCCUGUAGUCCCAGCUACUCGGGAGGCUGAGGCAGGAGAAUGGGGUGAACCCGGGAGGCAGAGCUUGCAGUCAGCCGAGAUCCCACCACUGCACUCCAGCCUGAGUGACAGAGGGAGACUCCAUCUCAAAAAAAAAAAAAAAUACAUAUAUAUAUAUAUAUAUAUAUAUAUAUAUAUAUAUGUAUAUGUAUGUCCAAAAUCCCACAGUUUCUCAACACCUCCACAACUUCCACCCUGGCCUCUGCCACACAAUCCUAUCUCACUUGUUUUAAUUGCAGUAACUGUAAUUGGUCUCUCAGUUUCAACCUUUGCCUUCCAUCACUUAAGUCUACUCAGCAGCCACAGUGGUCCUGGUAAGAUGGGAGUAAGAUCAUGAUCUUUCUCUACUCAGAACCCUCUCAUGGCUUCCCAUCUCACUUGGAGUAAAAGUAAAAUCAUUAAGGCUUGUAGGAUCUGGCUCCCUGGUACUGCUCUCUGACUUUAGUUUCUACUGUUAUUCACUCCUUUCUGUUGGCCCCUUCAGGCCCUUGCAGUUGCUGUUCCCUCUACCUAGAUCCCUCUUCCUUCAGAUGUCCACAUGACUUCCUCCCUCACCUCCUUCAGCUCUUUACUGUAUGUCAGCUGAGACCUUUGGCCCCCGCUAUGUAUACUCACAGCCUUCUCCAAACCGCCUCUUCCCUUUUUUUGCUUGAUUUUUCUCCUUAGCAUGUAUUACCUCUGCCUCCCAGGUUCAAGUGACUGUUCUGCCUCGGCUGCCCAAGUAGCUGGGAUUACAGGCGUGCACCACCACGCCUGGCUAAUUUUUGUGUUUUUAGUAGAGACAGGGUUUCGCCAUGUUGACCAGGCUGGUAUCAAACUCUUGACCUCGAGAGAUCCACCUGCCUCAGCCUCCCAAAGUGCUGGGAUUAAAAGUGUGAGCCACAGCACUGGGCUGCUUCAUGUUUUGUUACUGCCAUAUCCUCAGCACCUAGAACCAUACCUGCCACAAAGUAGGCAUUUAAUAAAUAUUGGUUAAAUGAUUAAAUGAGCUGUUUAGAUAUAUUAAGAGAAAGCAUCUACCUACCUUUGACCUUUAGCUUGACUGAGGGUGGCAGUUCUAUUAAAAAAUAGGGCCGGGUGUGGUGGCUCACGCCUGUAAUCUCAACACUUUGGGAGGCCAAGGCAUGAGGAUCACCUGAAGCCAGGCGUUUGGGACAAGCCUGGGCAACAUAGUGAGACCCUGUCUCUACAAAAAAUUUAAAAAUUAUGGCUGGGUCUGGUGGCUCACACCUGUAAUCCUAGCACUUUGGGAGGCCGAGGCAGGCAGAUCGCUUGAGGUGAGGAGUUUGAGACCAGCCUGGCCAACAUGGUGAAACCCCCAGUCUCUACUAAAAAUCCAAAAAUUAGAGUAGGAGACCGUGUGGCCUUAAUGGAUAAGGUGUCUGACUUCAGAUCAGAAGAUUGAGGGUUUGAGUCCCUUUGUGGUCAUAACGUUUGGUCGGGUGCGGUGGCUCAUGCCUGUAAUCCCAGCACUUUAGGAGGCCGAGGCAGGCGGAUCACCUGAGGUCAGGAGUUUGAGACCAGCCUGGCCAACGUGAUGAAACCCCGUCUCUACUAAAAAUGCAAAAAUUAGCUGGGCAUGGUGGUGGAUGCCUGUAAUCCCAGCUACUCGGGAGGCUGAGGCAGGAGAAUCGCUUGAACCUGAGAGGCGGAGGUUGCAGUGAGUCGAGAUCGUGCCAUCGCACUCCAGCCUGGGCGACACAGCAAGACUCCCAUCUCAAACAAACAAACAAACAAAAAUUAGCCAGAUGUGGUGGCGCACACCUGUAAUCUCGGCUACACAGGAUGCUGAGACAGGAGAAUCGCUUGAACCUGGGAGGCAGAGGUUGCAGUGAGCCAAGAUCAAGUCACUGCACUCCAGCCUGGGUAGCAGAGUGAGGCUCUGUCUCAAAAAAAAAAAAAAAAAUUAGCCGAGCAUUGUGGUGCAUGCCUGUAGUCCUAGCUACUUGGGAGGCUAAGGCGGGAGGAUUGUUUGAGCCCGAGAGGCUGAGGUUAUAGUGAGCUAUGAUCACACUGCUGAACUCCAGCCUGGUUGAUAGAGCAAGACUCUGUCUCUAAUAAAAUAGUGAAACCUAGAGAAGAGUAAAUUUGUCUAGGAACAAAUUUGAACAUACCAUCUGGAAGGAAUUAAGGAGGAAGUGACAACUGAGGUGGGCCUUGAAGGUUGAGAUCAAAGGACAUUUCAGGCAGAGGUAAGAACAUUGCAGCUGGGCACAGUGGCUCACACCUGUAAUCCCAGCACUUUGGGAGGCCGAGGCGGGCAGAUCACGAGGUCAGGAGAUCAAGACCAUCCUGGCUAAGACGGUGAAACCCCGUCUCUACUAAAAAUUAAAAAAAAUAGCUGGGCGUACUGGCAGACGCCUGUAGUCCCAGCUACUUGGGAGGCUGAGGCAGAAUGGCAUGAACCUGGGAGGCAGAGCUUGCAGUGAGCCGAGAUCGCGCCACUGCACUCCAGCCUGGGAGACAGACUCUGUCUCAAAAAAAAAAAUUAGCUGGGCGUGGUGGCAUGUGCCUGUAGUCCCUCCUAAUAGGGAGGCUAAGGCAAGACAGGAGAAUCACUCAAACCCAGAAGGCGGAGGUUGCAGUGAGCCGAGAUCUCACCACUGCACUCUAGUCUGGGUGAGAAGAGCGCAACUCCGUUUCAAAAAAAAAAUAGGAUGUAACUGUAGAAAAUGGGAGAAGUUCAUUGGAGUGUAGUUCUGGAUAGUGGGGCAUGUAGGGGAUAAAACAGAUUGAGACCAGAUUAUGAAGGUCUGAAGGCCCAGUUAAGGAAUGUAUAAUUUAUCAGCCUUGGUGAAACAUCAGAGGAUUUCCACCAAAGUAUAGAAUGAUUAGAUUUGUGUAUCUGAAAGCUAACUUCAAUAUUUGCGUCUCUGCACCAAAAGCCGGAGGCCAACUUGAAGGCUGUUAGUGCAGGUGUGAGAUGAUGAGUGGUUAAGAUACUAGUAGUAUGGGGAUAUAGAGGGAAUGACAGGAGGAGACUCAGCUGUUAAGAGCAAAGUUUCUGGUGUGAAACUGCAAAUAGCAAUCACAGUUCUCCCGUUUAGUGGCUGUGUGUUAUUUAACCUCUACCUCAGGUUGCUUAUCUGUAAAAUGACUAUACUAAUACCUUACUUCACAGGGUUAUUGUGAGGAUUAAAUGAGAUAAUCCAUGUAAAAUGUUUAUCAUAGCAUGUGGCACCUAGUAAUGCUUGAUAAUGUAGUUAUCACAUUAUUACUAAUUGGCAGCAUUUGUUGAUCAAUAGAAAGUGGGGUGAGGGAGAAGGAGGGCUUUACCGUCAAAUUUCUAAGACUAACCAGCUGGCAAUUCCAUGAAUAAAUUAUAUGUUUUCUUCCUCUCUAGCCCAAUUGUGGUUCCAGGCCAGCACCUUCAGUAUCACCUGGAAACUUGUUAGAUAUGCAAAUUCUUGGCUUCCCACCUUAGACCUAAUGAAUAAGAAACUGUGGGGUGAGAUGCAGCACGUGGUGUUUUAACAAGCCCUCCAGGUGAUUCUGAUGUACUUCAAGUUUGAGAACCACUGCUUGGGACUCUACAACUGGGGUUGGUUGACUUUUUUUUUUAAACGGGGUCUGGCUGUGUUGCCCAGGCUGGAGUCCAGUAGCUGUUCACAGACAUUAUCAUACCUCGAACUCCCAGGCUCAAGUGAUACUCCUACCUCAGCCUCCUGAGUCACCGGUACUACAGGUAUGCACCACCAUGCCUGGCUAAUUUUUACAUGACAUGGGGCCUCACCAUGUUGCCCAGGCUGGUCUCAAACUCCUGGGCUCAAGUGACCCAUCCGCCUUGGCCUCUCAAAGUGCUGGGACUACAAGCAUGAGCCACUGUGCCUGGUCUCAACAUUUUUUUUUUCUGGAAACUUUACAGCUCUGAAAUCCAAAGUCUAGGAUUUCACUGCUCCAGACUAAGUAAACAUGCUUUUCCCCACCAAAGCCAAAGCUGGAAUUUUUGGAUUGGAGGUCUGAUCUUGAUCUCAAUACACAGGAUGACCUGGCUAAACCACCAGAAAACUGAAACCUGAGAAGAGAAGGUCUUCUAAGAAGGGAAAGGAAUUCUUGUUUCCAAACCAUUAAGUUUUAAGCUGUGGUGAUCCCUGAACUAAGAAAUGUAAAGAAGGGAGCUCUCAAAGGCCCAGAGGGGCAAAGUGGAGUUGCCAGCUGUGAGGGAGCCUAGGAAAACUGUGUUUAGGACCAUAAAUCAAGUCCUUAAGUCUUUUUUUUUUUUCUUUUUUUUGAGACGAAGCCUUGCUCUGUCACCCAGGUUGGACAGUGCAGUGGUGCAAUCUCGGCUCACUGCAACCUCCACCUCCUGGGUUCAAGCAAUUCUUUUCUGCCUCAGCCUCCCGAGUAGCUGGGAUUCCAGGCGCCUGCCACCAUGCCCGGCUAAUUUUUGUAUUUUUAGUAGAGACGGGGGUUUCACCAUGUUGGCCGGGCUGGUCUCGAACUCCUGACCUCAGGUGAUCCGCCCACCUCAGCCUCCCAAAAUGCUGGGAUUAUAGUCACCGUGUCCGGAUUGAGCCACAGUGUCGGGCCUCCCUAAGCAAUUCUGUCCCUAAUGAGAUAAUGACCAUUCUUUUUGCCUUCUGGCUAAGAGUAUGGAAAGAGUUAAAAGCCAAUACUUUCACCACCCCUCUAAGGCUUAUAGAAUGGCAGAAUUCCAUUUCUAUGACCUACAUUCUUUGAAGGGAAUGCCUAUGUCGUGGAAAGAGGAUGCAGCAAGACUUUUCACUUGACUGGGCUUGGUUUUCCCAGACCAAAAAAUAAAAUGGAAAUAAAUCAUCUUUAAGGUCCCUUGCAGCUUUAUGACUGUAUAAAGCUACGUUUUCCAGCUAACAGUGGGGCAGAAGUAGGUAGAAAAAAGAGGAGACUUGUUUUGGCCACUCCCCAGGGAAAGAGGAUUCAUCUGGGUGGUUUCCUGAAGCUCUCGGAAAGGUAAAUAGAGACUGGAGUUGUGUGACUGGUAUUACCCCAGUCCUGUGACACUGAAAGGACACCACAGUUGGAGAGGCCACCUUUGCCUUCUCCGGGAGGAUGGGGGAUGGGAAGCCAGCGUGGAGCCACAGAGGCUUCCAGCUCCGCAGCCUGGCCUGGCUCAGCUCUUUCUGGCAGAAACCAUGUCCUGCGUUCCAGGCUUCCGCGAGCAGGAUGCUAGUGUGCUGCUCUCCUGCUCCCCUCUGCGGGGGCCUCUCAGAGGGUAGGACACACCCUCCUUGCCUUUUUUUUUUCCCCCUAUUAAAAAUCACAACUCAAAUUUGGGUAUUUUUCUCCCUCUGCUAGCCCCGCCAAAACUUUCAGCGCGUUCCGCCCACUCCACGUGGACCUCCCUUCCCUGUCCCAGCAGCCCCUGCGAGAACCCUCACCCCAACAUGUGACCAAUUGUUAUGUUUCCUUCCUGGAGCUCGCUUUCAGCUGGCACCAGCUAACGACUGAACAAAAGUGCCCCCUUCAGGGUGAAUGUGGGGCAGCAGCUUGAGAGGAGGAAAGCUGAUGAGGGCUCAGGUACAAUAGGGGAAUGCAGCUGCCUCUGUUUAAAAUGAUUUCAUAUCUACAUAGCUCCCUGGCUAAGGAUUACACAAUCAAACGAUGAGACAAAUGCAAGAGAAGGAUGUCAUCAAAUAAAAUUACUUGGGGGUGGAGUUGAAUAAAAUUUUAAUUUCCAGCUGCAAAGUUGGUUACCUCUACUCCAACUCCAUUUCCCGUUGAGUUCUUCAUGAUGUUGGCAGAGCACUCAGAUCCUCCCAUUCCAGACAAGAGCCAAGAAUGCCCUAAUUAUGGGCUGGGUGAUGGGAACAGGGCCUCCUCUGGGUGGGUGAGCUGCUUUUUGCUCACUACCACUACCCGCUUCCCCAGCAACACUCUAGUUGUCUCUUUAAGAGCUCGGACUCCUCAAGCUGACAUAGUUUCCAAAAUGGAAUCUCUCCCUCUCUCAGCACUGGGGAACAUUUUCCCUGGAUGGGAAGAGCCCCAGGAGAUCAUGUUGGAGGAAGGAGGAGUAGGGCGGGGCAGCAAAAAUUAGUCCAGUGGGAAGCCUUGGUACAUGGAACAAGGGGGCUAACCAGGGAAAGUUAGAAAAUAGGUCAAAGGAAGCCAUGCAGAGGGAACUAGUUUCCUUGGAAAAAUUUCUAAGCUUUGUCCAUUUUUCACCUCACUCCUAUCCCCUACAGGAGAUGUGGGAUUGGGGGAUUGGGUAGGGAACUGGGGGUGAGGGAACAUUCAAGGUUGGAGGCUGACUUGGGGAAGGAGUUGUGGGCAAGGCUCAGAGGAGGAAAACUAGGACUAAGUAGUGCAGGUAGGGAGGGGUAAAUUUAAAAUCAGAAUUAUUGUGGGGCCAUUUCUCCCUCCAAGGUCAUAGGGGUCAUGGACAGUGAAUGGUCCAGAAGCUACAAGCCGGGGAGCCCUAGGAGGGGGAUCUCAGUAGCCAGGAAGCACACUACCCAGGGGCAUGUUAAACAGUAAUUUAUGGAAGACAAUGGAAGUAGUCCUGGGGCACCUAUUUUUCCGUGUGUGUAUUUCAACUUUUAUUUUAGAUUCAGGGGGUACAUAUGCAGGUUUGUUACAAGGGUAUAUUGUGUAAUGGUGAAGUUUGGGGUAUGACUGAACCUGUCACCCAGGUAGUGAGCAUAGUACCAAUAGGUAGUUUUUCAAUCCUUGCUGGGGCACGUGUUUUCAAGGGAAACAGCCCAAAAGCGAUCAAACUAGAAUGUUGAGGACUCUAGCCAGGACAUUUGCUCUCCUAUAACUCAGCAUCUGUCAGCGCUCCCAUUACCAGGUGCUAUUUCCAGAGUCCUGGGCUUAGGGAGAGGGAAAGGGAGGGGCGGAGGUGGAGAGGCAGAGGGAGACCCGAUGGGCUCCUCCCCCAGCACAACUGCAAUUCCAGCUUUUAGCCACUCAGGGGCUCCCAAGCUCAACCACAGCCCCUGCGUAAGGAGGGAGAUUGAGUUAACAAGCCUCCAGAGGACACCUUGGGUCAUCAGGGAUGACCCUGAGCAGAAGGGUGACCCAGAAGUCAUGUGCUCUGAAGCUGCAAGUCCUUCACAAGCCAAUGAGUCCAGCCUCAACCUUUCUCUCUAAAAGGGACUCAGGGCACUGAGAACUCACUCCCCACCUCUUACCCUCACCCCCUUCUUUGUGGUCAUUUCCUCCCCCGCGUGUUUCCUUCCCCUCCCCCAUCCUCGUGGUGGGAACCAUCCCCCAGCCUGUCAGAGUCCUGAGGAAUGUUUUUGCCUUGACUGGGCGCCAAGCUGUGGACUUCCUGGGCUUUGGGGUGGGACUUGGCCAAGGGGAAGCCCUUUGGACCCAAGAGCCACUCAGUUCUGCACAGCCUGCCGGCUUUCUCUCUCUCUCUGCUAAGCAAAAGGCUCAUCCAUCACUUUGUGUCACGACUGCCUCAUUUCCUCCCCCCACAAUAGGAUUUCCUUGCCAGGGCAAAUCACACAAUCUGGAAGCAGUGGUCAUCCUAAACACUGUGGCUUAUAGUGGGAGAGAGGGAAAGCACCUAUUUCAGAAGCUGCCUUCUCUGUUCCAGAAGGCUGGUAGCUGGAAGGAGGGAUUCAGUUGCCAGGGUCCUGAGGUAAGGACUUUGUAAAUGGUAAUUAAUCUUGAGGGCUCCUUCUGGAUCCUUCUCAGAACCAUUGAGUCUAAAGAAAUACAGGGUCUCUAUAUUAUAGUUAAGCCUGGGAGUACGUGGAUUUCUGCAUAUCUGACUUUUACCCAGCCUUCGUUUCCCUGAAAUAAAUCAGCUGAAAUCCGAACUCAUUCUUCCACAUCAUCUUUCCAGUCCCCUGCAGCAGACCAGUGUAGGUUCAGCAAGAACAGGGAGCAGGCAGAAACCACUCCCAAAUCUCAUUAAUAGAGACUGGGCCUGUCAGGGACCACUGGCUCCUCUCCAAGGGGUCACUGCUCAGGUGUUUUUGCAUUUGAUCUCUUCUGAUCUCUUGUCCAUAAAAAGCCCUCAAAUGACAAAGUGAGAACAUAGUCCUAUGGCAUCCCCUGCCUCAGGGUCCAGUCCCUCAAUGCCACUUUUGCAGCCUGUCUGCCUGAUGUCAUCAUCUGUAGACCUGUGCCAGAUUCCCAGGUUCCUAUCUUGAAAUCUCAGCCCCCGCACCCAGGGCCUAGGGGAGAGCCAAUGUAGGUCACUGCAGUUGAGCCUGCAGGGCUGUCUGCUCCUUGAGCCCAGAGCCUUUCAGGCACAGAGAGAAAGCCUUGCAGAGAAGCAAAAGAAAGGGCUCUGUGAGAAUCAGAGAAAAGCUUAUUCCUCAAAAAAUGAAGCAGGGAGAGGCCAGGAGUCAGCUGCUCAGACUGAGACAGUAACAGGAGUUCUGCUCCUGAGAACUGCCUGUGAUGGAGAGAAGGCCCAAGGAGAGGGGCUGGGCAUGGCUCACAUCCCUCCCAACCCCCUAACCCCCAUUUGCCUGUGUAAGGGAACCCUUUGGAUCUGGUGUCCAUCCCUCAUUCUCUACUCUCUUUCCAGGCUCAGGUUUCAUUCUCAGGAGCUUUUGUGAUUUGCCUUAGGGACCCUUUGUUUCCUCUGGCCACAGUUUCUGGGUCUCAGGAAGGUGGAGUAGGCCAGGGAUGACCCCGCCCUCCCCUAUUGAAAGACUUUUCCUGCUUGUUAUCUGCUAAACUCAUUUUACCCAGGGAACUUCCAACCUUCUGGGACUUCAUUCCUUCUCUUGGUCUCCCUACCCUAGCAUCUGAGAUCGCAGGGAGUGUUUGUGUGUGCCUGUGUGCAUGGUCCUCAUCUUCUUUUAGUUACUCAUGGGAAGUCAAGAGCCUAUGGCUGUUAACUAACUUGGGGUCCCCAUGGCCAGCAAAAAUAGAUAAGGGCUUAAUUUCUACCUCCAGCCUCAAAACAAUUUAAGCCACAAUCAUUUGUUCUAAUAGGAGCCUCGGGACAGGAAGAAAAGUAGGUAAGAUGGAGAAAGGAUAAACAAAUAAAAUUCUAACCUUUUCUUUCUUUCACUCUCCCCUCACCCAGUACCUUCCACUCCUCUUUGAGAUCUCAGCUACUCAUUAGCCUACUACUGUUGUGCCAUUUGCCCGCAUUUCCAGAAUCUGCACACAGGAGGCACUCAAUAAAUGCUUUUUACUCUGAGUCAAACUAAAUCUGAUUACGCCCUGUGGCUGGACUUUGAGAUGAAGCAGCACAAAGGGGGAAGGUAGACAUGCCCCCAGAUCUUUUUUUUUUUUUUUUUUUUUGAGACAGGGUCUCACUCUGUCGCCCAGGCUGGAGUGCAGUGUGUGAUCUUGGCUCAUGGUAACCUCCACCUCCCAGUUCAAGGAAUUCUCCUGCCUCAGCCUCCUGAGCAGCUGGGAUUACAGGCACACACCACACCCGGCUAAUUUUUGUAUUUUUUUGUAGAGACGGGGUUUCACCAUGUUGACCAGGCUGGUGUCCAAUGCGUGGCCUCAAGUGAUCCGCCUGCCUCAGCCUCCCAAAGUGCUGGGAUUACAGGGAUGAGCCACCACGCCCAGCUGACAUGUCCCCAGAUCUUGGGCUAGAUUCUCCUAGAGGACUGAUUGUUAGGGACCGAAGACCUAAAGCAGUGGGUCUCAGGCUUCCCAGAAUCCCAAGGGCCUUGUUAAAACUCAGAUUGCUGGGUUUUGCUCCCAGAGCUUCUGAUUCAAUCCACCUGGGAUGGGGCCUGGGAAUUUGCAUUUCUAACAUGUUCCCAGGUGACCCCAGAUCCCUAUGCUUAUCUUGAGAACCACUGUCUUAGAG
rnacentral:lncRNA from 1 species